rnacentral:rRNA from 1 species
UUAUAAUUUAAUAAAAAAAAUUAGAGUAGUAUUAGAUAUGUUCUUAAAACUUAAAAAAAUUGGCGGUGUUUUAUUCUAAUCAGAGGAACUUGUUUUAUAAUUGAUAUUCCCCAUUUAAUCUUACUUAAUUUAGUUUAAUUUGUAUAUCGUUGUCAUAAGAAUGUCUUUAAAAAGUAAGAAUUUUCUAAUAUAAAAAUUUUUAAUUAUGUCAGAUCAAGGUGCAGUUUAUAUUUAAGUAAAAAUGAGUUACAUUUAAUUUUAUUAAUUAUUGAUAAAAAAUUUAAAUAUUUUUGUGAGAGUGGAUUUGAUAGUAAAAGUUUUAAAAAUAAAAUUUUGAUAAUAGUUCUAAAAUGUGC